CACGGGCCUGGCCUCCCCCGGCUCGAGGCUGCCCCGAGGAGCCGCGGAGGCUGUGGGCGAGCGGCGCAUCCAGCAGCAAACCCAAGUUUUAGUCUGCAGCGCGAAUUAGGAAACGGGCACAGAAAGAGAGAGGGAGAGGAGGAUUCCCAGCAAGGUCCACCUUAAGGCCCUUUUCCAGAGAAAACCUUCCAGUACUGCAAGUUCCAAAGCUUGAAUGAGAUAUUCUGCCAGCCUUACUCCCAAGCUGGAAUGGCAGUGACCUCAGAACUGAUCGAUCAGGCUAUCAAGCACCAGUCUUUGCAGAAGACAAGCCCUGAAGAUGAUCAAUAUUGAAAUGAUCCAGUGACCAUUAGCUAUUAAAUCUAUAUAAGAGGAAUUUCACAAUAUUUUAAUGUAGUUCUUACUUCUGACACCUGGCAGACAGGAGUUUAAUAGUUCAGCUAUUAUUCACAUACAUAAAGAUUUUGACUUUUAUUGGGUUGAUCAUAAUAAUAUUUUCUUUCAAAUAAAUGAAUAUCUCAGCCCACAAAAAGUACUGUACCUAUACUGAACUUCAAAGUCAGUAGAAUUGCGAGAGAUUUUUAUUGAAAUUUCAUGAAGCACUGCUGAAUAUGCAAGUACUGCUACAUGGAGUACUAAUGUGCUAGCUAAUAACUGUUUUAUUUUCAUACCACCAGUGUUUUAGAUAAGAAAGCCGGUCCUCUACAUUGCAUUCAGUAAAAGUGUCAUUAGCUACAAACCCUGAAUACAAGAAUUACUUGCUGUGCAUGAGUGAGUUUACCUCUGGAGCUAUAUGCAUGUUUAAGUAGAUUAGCACUUGAAACUUUGCAAACUUUUACAAAAUAAACUCUCUAACAUUACUUUAUUGUAUUCAUUCCUUUGAUUAUAGCAUUUUGGGGGAAUUUAAAUAAUGAGUCGAAGAAAGCAGUAUUUUAUGCACCCUUCAAAGCCAAGAAAGGAUCUAUUGGGGCUGUUUCUAGUUAGUGAUUUAUCUAUAAGCCUUAAACAUGUAAAUGUUACACUAAAAGAAAAAGUUGUUGUUCUUCAAUGCCAUUAAAAGUAAAAGCAUAAAGCAUAAAGCAUAAAGACUCAAAUUUUUUCAUGACUGGGUUAAAAAAAAAUUAAAAAUUGAUUUCUUCAACUUUAUUUCAUUAGCCUAUACAAGGUGUCUACCAUAAUUAGGGAUAGAUAUCUUUUUAACUCCAUUGUAACUUGUGAAUUCUGGAAAUAAUAGUUACCAUGGUACUCAUGUUCCUUUAGCAGCUUAAUUCUCUCCCAUAUUUGGGACUUCUGUGUCUGUUAAUAUGAUCAUGUACUCAAAAAGACUGAUGAGCUCUAUUAAGAGGAGGAUGUUUGCUAUCACCUAGCCUUCUUUUGUACUGAAGUGACAGUCACUGUGAUCUUAGAGCAGAGAUAUGUUACAUUAAAUACAGGUGAGUCACUUUUUUAUCUCUCCUUAUGACAUAGACUGUACAGUAGAAAGAAACAAAGCAAAGCUUUCCAGACUUCUUUUAUCCAAAAUACUUUGCCAUGUGAUGCUGUAGAUUUUUAACGGAAAUAUUAAAGUCGGUGUAUGAAUGCAGUAGGCAUGAAUGUAAAUACCUGCAUGUCCCCUUGGAUCACAUACAUCUUGGUGCUUGCAAGUACGUGUGUGUGUCUGUGUGCGUGUAAAAGAGUGAGUGCAUGAAGACCAUGAGAAAACAAAUGUGAGUACACAAAACCAGCUUGUGUAAAGUUGCCAUAGACAAGUAUAACAUUUUCUGUCCAAAAUAUUUCUUACUAUGUCGUCUUGUACUACUUUUCCUGCAACAUGUAUGUAUAGAUACUGGAGAUUGAUUGAAAGUCAGAAAA